GUCUACGGCCAUACCACCCUGAACACGCCCAAUCUCGUCUGAUCUCGGAAGCUAUGCAGGGUCAGGCCUGGUUAGUACUUGGAUGGGAGACAAAGAUGUUUUUAAAC
rnacentral:rRNA from 1 species